rnacentral:snoRNA from 1 species
GGGGUCGCCCCUCCGGAGCGCGAGGCGGGCGGGCGGUGCUGCUUGUGCAGGAGCCGCUCGCCAUUGAUGACCGUUCCCGGCCCCCCGGGGUCCGGGAGGGAGAGACCACGGGCUGAGUGGU